AUUGAACGCUGGCGGCAUGCCUAACACAUGCAAGUCGAACGGCAGCACGGCAGUAGCAAUACUGUGGGUGGCGAGUGGCGGACGGGUGAGGAAUACGUCGGAAUCUGCCCAGUCGUGGGGAUAACUAGCCGAAAGGUUAGCUAAUACCGCAUACGACCGAGAGGUGAAAGCGGGGACCGGCAAGGCCUCGCGCGAUUGGAUGAGCCGACGUCGGAUUAGCUAGUUGGUGGGGUAAAGGCCCACCAAGGCGACGAUCCGUAGCUGGUCUGAGAGGAUGAUCAGCCACACUGGAACUGAGACACGGUCCAGACUCCUACGGGAGGCAGCAAUGGGGAAUAUUGGACAAUGGGCGCAAGCCUGAUCCAGCAAUGCCGCGUGUGUGAAGAAGGCCUUCGGGUGUUAAGACACUUUAAGCGAGGAGGAAGGUUUUAGUUUAAUA
rnacentral:rRNA from 1 species